GCGCGGAAGAUGUAACGGGGCUAAACCAUGCACCGAAGCUGCGGCAGCGAACGUAUCACCCAAGACAACUUUACGGAGUUGACGAUUGAUGGAGCGAAGCGACGUCAAAGCGUUCAUUAAAGUCGAGUUGGCUUAGGGAUACGUUCGUUGGGUAGGGGAGCGUUCUGUAAGCCUGUGAAGGUGGCCUGUGAGGGUUGCUGGAGGUAUCAGAAGUGCGAAUGCUGACAUAAGUAACGAUAAAGCGGGUGAAAAGCCCGCUCGCCGGAAGACCAAGGGUUCCUGUCCAACGUUAAUCGGGGCAGGGUGAGUCGACCCCUAAGGCGAGGCCGAAAGGCGUAGUCGAUGGGAAACGGGUUAAUAUUCCCGUACUUGGUGUUACUGCGAAGGGGGGACGGAGAAGGCUAUGUUGGCCGGGCGACGGUUGUCCCGGUUUAAGCGUGUAGGUGUGUGUUCCAGGUAAAUCCGGUUCACUUUAACACUGAGGCGUGAUGACGAGGCACUACGGUGCUGAAGCAACAAAUGCCCUGCUUCCAGGAAAAGCCUCUAAGCAUCAGGUAACAUCAAAUCGUACCCCAAACCGACACAGGUGGUCAGGUAGAGAAUACCAAGGCGCUUGAGAGAACUCGGGUGAAGGAACUAGGCAAAAUGGUGCCGUAACUUCGGGAGAAGGCACGCUGACACGUAGGUGAAGUGAUUUACUCAUGGAGCUGAAGUCAGUCGAAGAUACCAGCUGGCUGCAACUGUUUAUUAAAAACACAGCACUGUGCAAACACGAAAGUGGACGUAUACGGUGUGACGCCUGCCCGGUGCCGGAAGGUUAAUUGAUGGGGUCAGCGCAAGCGAAGCUCCUGAUCGAAGCCCCGGUAAACGGCGGCCGUAACUAUAACGGUCCUAAGGUAGCGAAAUUCCUUGUCGGGUAAGUUCCGACCUGCACGAAUGGCGUAAUGAUGGCCAGGCUGUCUCCACCCGAGACUCAGUGAAAUUGAACUCGCUGUGAAGAUGCAGUGUACCCGCGGCAAGACGGAAAGACCCCGUGAACCUUUACUAUAGCUUGACACUGAACAUUGAGCCUUGAUGUGUAG
rnacentral:rRNA from 1 species